rnacentral:tRNA from 1 species
GGGUCUUUAGCUCAGUGGUGAUGUGCGUGCUUUGCAUGCAUGAGGCCACCACUUUAAACCUGGUAAGCUCCA